AUGCUGAAAGUGGCUAGUGACUUCUAUAAAGACCUGUUUAAGAAAGAAAACCCUUCUGGGUUCUCUCUACAAAACAAUUUUUUCUCUGCUUCUGAAAAAGUCUCUCUUGCUGAAAAUGAGCUGCUAGAAGCCCCUUUUUCAGAGACAGAGGUGAAGGAAGCCAUUUUUAGCUCUUAUCCUGAUGGGGCUCCUGGUCCUGAUGGGAUUCCCUUCUUGUUUUACCAGCAUUUUUGGGACUUGGUGAAAAAUGAUCUCUUAGAUCUUUUUAAGCCUUUCAUAGAGGAGAGUUGGAUCCAGCAACUUACUCAUGGGGGGUCUGUUGGGGUCAAGUUAAAUAACUGUGAAAGUGAUUUUUUCCUUUCUGGUAAAGGCCUUAGGUAAGGUGACCCCAUCUCCCCACUUUUGUUUAAUUUAGUAGUGGACAUUCUUACUAAAAUGCUGAGCAAAGCUACUGAUCACAGUCUGAUUGCAGGGCUCUGUCCUGAGGUCUGCCCUGGUGGCAUCAUCUGCCUUCAAUAUGUAGAUGAUACCAUCCUUUUCUUAGACAAUGACUCCGCACAUGCUAGCAAUAUGAAAACUAUUCUAACCUGGUUUGAACAAGUCUCAGGCAUGAGAAUCAACUACUCUAAAAGUGAACUCGUCCCUAUCAACAUGGAUGAUCAGGAGUUAGAUGACUUCCUCUCUAUUCUAGUCUGUAAUUGUUGGGGAACGUAG
rnacentral:rRNA from 1 species